AACGAACGCUGGCGGCAUGCCUAACACAUGCAAGUCGAACGAGACCUUCGGGUCUAGUGGCGCACGGGUGCGUAACGCGUGGGAAUCUGCCCUUGGGUUCGGAAUAACAGUUAGAAAUGACUGCUAAUACCGGAUAAUGUCUUCGGACCAAAGAUUUAUCGCCCAGGGAUGAGCCCGCGUAGGAUUAGCUAGUUGGUGAGGUAAAGGCUCACCAAGGCGACGAUCCUUAGCUGGUCUGAGAGGAUGAUCAGCCACACUGGGACUGAGACACGGCCCAGACUCCUACGGGAGGCAGCAGUGGGGAAUAUUGGACAAUGGGCGAAAGCCUGAUCCAGCAAUGCCGCGUGAGUGAUGAAGGCCUUAGGGUUGUAAAGCUCUUUUACCCGGGAUGAUAAUGACAGUACCGGGAGAAUAAGCCCCCGGCUAACUCCGUGCCAGCAGCCGCGUAAU
rnacentral:rRNA from 1 species